rnacentral:rRNA from 1 species
UGCAAGUCGAACGAUGAUCCCAGCUUGCUGGGGGAUUAGUGGCGAACGGGUGAGUAACACGUGAGUAACCUGCCCUUAACUCUGGGAUAAGCCUGGGAAACUGGGUCUAAUACCGGAUAUGACUCCUCAUCGCAUGGUGGGGGGUGGAAAGCUUUUUGUGGUUUUGGAUGGACUCGCGGCCUAUCAGCUUGUUGGUGAGGUAAUGGCUCACCAAGGCGACGACGGGUAGCCGGCCUGAGAGGGUGACCGGCCACACUGGGACUGAGACACGGCCCAGACUCCUACGGGAGGCAGCAGUGGGGAAUAUUGCACAAUGGGCGAAAGCCUGAUGCAGCGACGCCGCGUGAGGGAUGACGGCCUUCGGGUUGUAAACCUCUUUCAGUAGGGAAGAAGCGAAAGUGACGGUACCUGCAGAAGAAGCGCCGGCUAACUACGUGCCAGCAGCCGCGGUAAUACGUAGGGCGCAAGCGUUAUCCGGAAUUAUUGGGCGUAAAGAGCUCGUAGGCGGUUUGUCGCGUCUGCCGUGAAAGUCCGGGGCUCAACUCCGGAUCUGCGGUGGGUACGGGCAGACUAGAGUGAUGUAGGGGAGACUGGAAUUCCUGGUGUAGCGGUGAAAUGCGCAGAUAUCAGGAGGAACACCGAUGGCGAAGGCAGGUCUCUGGGCAUUAACUGACGCUGAGGAGCGAAAGCAUGGGGAGCGAACAGGAUUAGAUACCCUGGUAGUCCAUGCCGAAAACGUUGGGCACUAGGUGUGGGGGACAUUUCCACGUUUUCCGCGCCGUAGCUAACGCAUUAAUGCCCCGCCUGGGGA